rnacentral:lncRNA from 1 species
CACAUGAUUCUUCUUACCUUCGUGGAAUCCUGUGGGAAUAUUUAAUCACCAGUACAUGCCAAAACUUGUUAGUGGAGGCAGAAAAAUAAAGAAAAAGAAAGAAAGAAAAGAAAAGUAAAAGGAGGCAGAAAAGAGAAGAAAGAUAAAGACAGAGAAAAGAAAAAUCAAUCAUAUUACAUGCAUAACACAUUGCAUAUCAUAACAUCUCCAUCACAGAUGCCUUAUAUCCCCCUGUAGAUAUUUCAGCUUAUCCCCAACAAAUGACCCUAUACAAA